rnacentral:rRNA from 1 species
AGUUGGUGGAGUGAUUUGUCUGGUUAAUUCCGUUAACGAACGAGACCUCAGCUUGUUGGUUGUUUGCAGCUAAUAUAUUUUAGUUCGCAAGGAUUGAGAAGGACGAUCGGUGUUUAGCCGAUGGAAGUUUGAGGCAAUAACAGGUCU